CCGAGUUUACAACUCCCAAACCCAAUGUGGACCAUACCAAACUGUUGCCUCGGCGGGGUCACGCCCCGGGUGCGUCGCAGCCCCGGAACCAGGCGCCCGCCGGAGGGACCAACCAAACUCUUUUCUGUAGUCCCCUCGCGGACGUUAUUUCUUACAGCUCUGAGCAAAAAUUCAAAAUGAAUCA
rnacentral:misc_RNA from 1 species